rnacentral:lncRNA from 1 species
UUUUUUUUUUUUUUUGUCAUCUCAUAAAAUGACUCUGAUUAGGAAGGGAUUGAUCAUUUCCUAAGACUGUUUUGUACGGAAUGCCCAAAGCCACUCGGUGUCCCUUGUUGGUGCUUAUUUCUCUGCGUUUCUGAUAAAAUAUAAUUGUCUUAAGUCUCUCAGGAUUGAUUAGAUGGAAUGUUCAAAAGGAAAGCUGUCUUAUUAUUGACCCUGCAUCCUUUAGUUAAUAAGUUUUUUUCUAAUUUUACUUCAAAGAUGAAAGUUUCUUAAUUAACCAUCAGAGGUUCUCUGAAGCUAAGUAUAUUAAAAUCAUAUUAUGCCUUCCUGAGGCUCUCCUUAGAUUUUUUAUUAAGCAAAGCUAUUGGAAGUAAAGAUAUGAGGGUAAUCGUAUCUAUAUAUAAUAAAGAAAGAUAUACUUAUGAGUUUUCUAUUCUAAUCACCAUCACUGCCACACUGAAAAAGUCAAUUAUUUUGUAAUAUUUAAGAAUGUUAAUAAAAAUGAAUGUUAUUUAGCUAAAUCUUGUUAGCUUUGGAAAUGAGAAACAAGAAUAUCAAAGAUAGAAAAAAAAGAUUAUAGCCUAAUUCCAAAUGUAAUUUAGUGAAUGUGUGUCAAAGCAACUCUAUCUGUUCCAAUAGGUAUUUAUUGAUCACCUGCCAUAUGCCAGUCCUCCUAGGUUCUAAGACGUAGAAAGAUUAAGACAUUGACCCUGUCCUCAGUGAGUUCACAACUUCAUAGGAGAGAAUGAUUCUUUAAUUAUAACAGGUGAGAAUGGACAUGUACUGUAAUGAAGGCAUGUGCAGAGCAAGGAUGUGCUGGGAAACUGACUGUCUAGGGGAAAUUAAGCCCUCAUUUGCCAAUGUCCCUGGUGCAAAUAUUUCACCCCAGCCAAUUUUCAAGUUCCCAAUUAAAAAGCUUCAACAGGGAACGUCUGCGCUGCUCAGUUGGUUAACCAUCUGACUUCAGCUCAGGUCAUGAUCUCAGGGUCCUGGGAUCAAGCACAGAGUCACACUCCCUGCUCAGUGGGCAGUUUGCUUGAGGAUUCUCGUUCUCUCCCUCUGCCUCUGCAUCUCCUCCACCCCAACUCUCUAUCUCUCAAAUAAAUAAAUAAAAUCUGAAAAAUAAAUAAAUAAAAAAUUAAAAGCUUCCAACAACUUAAAAAUAGGCUUAAAAAUUAUUGAAUAUUUAACAACUGGCCCUCAUAAGCUUUACAGACUGGCUUCAUCACACCAUUGGAAGUGUGGAGGAAUCAUAGAGGAAAAUAGCCAUGAAUUCUGCUUGAAGUGGGGCUGGAACAGAACACAGAGCAGAGGGAAUUUGAGCUCUGCCUUGAAGAUGAACAAGAUAGAAGGACAAAGAGGGAGGAAGAAUGUUCCAUGCCGAGGGAAUGUCCUAUGUAAAUCUAAGAUGGCUGAGAAUCCAGGCCAUGCUGGGACAGGAGUGACCUGGAAAGCUUGGGCCAGAUUAUGAAGAACUAUGAAUGCCACACUAGGCGUCCUAUUUCCUUUCAAUAGAAAAUGGGAGUCUCUGGAGGGGCUCACAAAGCCUAUAUGAAGAAAAACUACUGAAAUAGCCCAAGCACAGAUGUACUCUGCCAAAUGGUCAGGCAUUCUGCAAACACGGUUAUUUUCAAAAUGAUGGAUUUCUUGGCUAAAUCUUAUUGUUUUUCAAAGAAUUCGGCUUAUUUUGAAGUAUGGCCACAAGAGGGAGGAGAAAGUGAAGGAAGAGAAAUGGAGUAAGAAAUUGAAAUGCAGCUGCUACAGAAAUCUAGGAGUACUAACAAAGUAAUAGGUGCUGUUACAGAAAACAGAAGAUAUAGGAAUGAAAAAGAGGAAAAUGAGAAUUAUCUGUCAUCCUAUCACCCAUGUGUAGUGGCUUUUAUCAUUUUUAUAUUCAUCGUUCUAGUAUUUUUAUGUAUGCAUUUAUUAUGCACAUAUUUCUAAAGCUGGAAAUCAGUUUAUAUUGUGUAUGUUUUAUUAAAAUUCCUCAUAAACAAUGUCACAGGUUAGCACAUGUUAUUUCACACCUUCAGUCCUAUCGAUUGCAUAGUGUUCCUGUUGCACAGAGAUUACUUAAUUUGUUUAUGAAAUCUACCAUAUAUGGACAUUAAAGUUGUUUGCCAUUUUAUACUAUCCCAAAGGGUGCUUUAAUAAAAACUCCUUUUUAUCUUGGGCACAUGUUUUGACAAAACACUUAAAUGACUUAAAUGCAUAUAAAUAUAAAAUCUAUUUUUCUUUUACAUUUUGUUUUUGAAAAGUAAAUUUUAGGGAAAUAAGAAAAUAAAAAACAUUGCUUUACAGUCAUUCCACUAAGGACUUUCUUGUCCUUAGCACUUUCCCACCCUUUAAGAGAAUAUAAUGCUGAGAAGUCAUCUAUAUUUCACAUACAAAGCCAAGUUCUCACACGUUUCAGGACAUGCAUAAUCUUUCCGUGAUGCCAGAUAAACACUGUGUUCUGGUGCUUACCUCUUGCUCUAGGCCAUAACUGUAGCGCAAGGUUUUAUGUGACAAAUGUCUAGAUAGCCAAAUACCCUCCACUGAAAAUUAAAUCUCACACUUGGAUGAGUCAUGGGCCUCAGGUGUGUGUGGGGUUUGUCUUACAGCUGUAUCUGUUUGAGGCACUCGUUAGAGGUGACACAGGGAUGUGGCUGUUUACUUCAGCUAAUAGCCAGUAGUUCCUUUAGGGGCAUCUUGGGAAACUGCUCACACAACACACUGUUAUAGGGGGUAUAGUAUGUGCUGAGUUUGGGUGCUGGGACGCUGAAUAUUCAACCUGGGACCAAGCUGUGGAAAGCAUCGAACUUCAGGCUUAGGUAUAAGGACUUUAUCCUAUACAGCUUACAUUAGUUAUCAAAUGGUCUUCAAUAGGAGAAAUGGUAUGGGAAUCUGAGCAAAACAGGGGAAAAAAUCAUCUGUUAAGAAUGACCACUGCUUAAGUAUUUUGGAUAAAUGUUUUUCUUUCCUCUAACUAAUAUACUGCGUUGCUCAAGUAAUGCAACAGAUUUGGGAA